rnacentral:tRNA from 2 species
UGCCCGCUGGUCAAACUGGUUUAAGACGUCGCCCUCUCAAGGCGGAGUUAUGGGUUCGAGACCCAUGCGGGUGAUCA